rnacentral:misc_RNA from 1 species
GGGUCUCCAGGGAGGACCUGAGUUUUCUUCACCCAUUGUCAGGAAGGCGCCAUCGCCCUGGCUUUUGGGGCUGGGGCCUCCGGGGAGGUUCCGGUAGGGGCGUUGGAGAGGCCCGCUCUUUUUGCAAGGCCCGAGACGGCGGGCCCUGCGCAGGCCGCCCUAUUUCCGCGCGCCCUCAGGGCGUCAGUAUCAGCCUGAGGCUGGAUACCCCCGCUGGCCCCGGAUGCCCCCGCUGGGCCCGGAGCAUCCUCCGGCGCUGCCCUCCCAGAGCCACGCAGAGGCUGAGGUGGCGCGGGGGCGGCCCCGGCUCCGCGAGAAGCGGCGGCAGCGAGGGCUGGAGGACCCGGGCUGCGGGGCUCCGGGGCGUCUGGCCUGGGUGGGACUGAGCCCAUCCAGGGACUGGGACUCUGGGAUUCUGGUGUAGGUGGAUCCGGGGCAGGCUCAGGACCAAGUCCCUCUCCUUCCACCAAGGAGCGCCCAGAGGCCGGCGGGAGCUCCAGGUUCACCUCCUCCUCCUCCAGGAAAUCCCACUUCCAGCUAGAUGUCUGCAUGAACUACUGAAAGCUGCUGAGUGUCUUGCAGCAGGCCAUUUUCAAUCCAGAGGAAGACCUUCUAAAAGAGGUGAUGGAUGGGAGAGUGCUGACAUACUAUGUGAAGCUACUAUUUGGAGUUGGACACGAGUGCAUGUGACCUUGUGCCACAGCGGGAAUCUUGACUACCACACAAAUGAAUCCAUUCAAAUGUUGGCAAGUGGAGCAGAGUCCCAGGACAGUCUCCAAUCUCUACAGGUACAGAAACACCCCCAGUUCAAGAAUCUUCACAUCUGAAUUUAGUCCUACACCUGCAACUACCCCAGGUAAGUUUCCUUGUUCUUCAAUGGCAAAGUUUGGACAAUGCUGUUCAAACUCCAGGCAACAAGCAACAUCUAGGGAAUGUGCUUUUAGGUAGGGUCAGCAUAAUAUCCCACCCUGGAAGACAUUUUUAUUUUAAAGUUGUAGAGGGUGAUGCUGCUGGCGGCUCCCUCCCAAUUAGCACCAUUUGCAGCCUCUUUUGAAGACAGAGAACUGAGGGCUGUCCUUCAAAUGGAGCAGUGUGAUUCCAAAAAAAAGAGAUGCUCCUUGUGGUCCUGGGACCAGGGAUAGGACUCCAGCUGAGCCUGGUGGAAGAGGUCCACGUCCUAGCCCAACGGAGAGCCAUGCAGCUGAGCUUGGGCGAUGUGGUCCACGUGGUUGUUUCUGAGUGUGUCCUGAGGUUGCUGGAUGGCUUGCAGUUCCCUAUGCAGAUCCAAUGCUUCUUUUGCUUUUUUGGUUCUGCAACCUGGAAUUUAUAUGUUCAAGAUGGAGCCAUCUCAGCCAUGACAACAGAGAAUGUACCACUCUCACAUGAGGAAGAGGGGUAGGAAGUGCUCCUGUAUCACCAGCCCUUAAUGAGACCCUGAGGAAACCACAUCAUGGAGAUCAGCCCUUCUCUCCUGUAAGGAACUCAUCCUAUGAAAGAGCAAUUAGUGCCUGCAAGAGCUGUCUCUGGGACAGCUGUUCAUGUCUAUAUCUGCAGGGUAACCCUCAUAGUCAUAUGCAGUCAUAUCCAUAGUCAUAUCGGGAGUCAGACUCCAGUUUGACUGAGUGAAUGGAGAAACUAAACAUUUAUUACUGAAUAAUAACAUUAAUAAACCAUCUUAAUGAUAGUAAUAAUAAACAUAUUGAUGAGUAUUAACAGGAAUGAUGAUUAUUAUGAUACUAAUAUCCAUAAUUAAUAAUUUUAAUAUUGAUAAUAAUACUAACCCUGUGGACUUGGGACCUAGAGAGCAGUUUCCCCUGACAAUUAUCCCAUAUUUGGCCACAUGGGGUAAUAUUGAGUUCCAGAAGGCAAAGAUUAACAUUCAGAAAAAUAGGAAAAACAACCUGCAGGUAGGCAUGUGCACACAUGGGGACUCUAUGGAUAAAUACUAAAGUGACUCUUGUUCUGGAUCUCCAUGCUAACAAACAUGCACCAGCUUUCAGGAGGUAGGACAGCUGGCUGAUGGGGCAAGGCUUCUUGAGGACAUGGCAGGAGUCAGAAAUCACACAUGCUGCCCAGCAGCAGAGCUCAUGACAAGCAGUAAACCCCAGUGAAAGGACCUGGCUGCCCUUCUGCCAUCUGCUCUCCCAUGGCCUCUGUUGACUGGUACAUCUAGGCACUGGAAUAACCUUCACUGGCUAUAGGAAGGCAUAAUCCUCAGUAUUCUCCCACCUGCAAGAAAGACAAAAAUUAACUGAAUACCAUGGCUUCUGGGUAUCCUUAGUGGGCUUAGUGUAUUUUGCAUUUGUUUUAACAGGCCAGUUAUCCAGGCAGUGACUUUCAGUACAGCUACAGUCACCUCUGGACACCUGUGGAGACUUUAAAAAUUUCCAGAAGUUCAGGAAUUUUUGGACACCUUUCUCAUGGCUAUGUUGCCUGCAAAGGUGAAUCAAUAAGCUUCUGAACUGACUUAGAAAAUGUUGCAGAGACUCUUGUGAGCAGAUAGACCCUCUCCUGCCACUCCAGAUAGACAUAUCUGGGUCACACACACCUGAUUUAACAACAUCUUGUUAUCUCAGGUGGGCAACAGACAGCAAUUUAGGACCUAUCCCAGUGUGGAUGAGAGAUAUUGAGUUGGCUUAGAAACAUGUUAGAUAGACUAGAUGGGGCAAGAAAGCCCAUUCUGGGGCUCAAAAGCCUGCACAUAGAGUUGCUGGCACAUAAAUGGUAUGUAUAAAUUCUUUCUCAGCCCAUGAGAUCAGGAUGUACUUCAUCAGUAUACCAUGCUGGUAUGAAGAGAUUCUUGCCUCAAAAGGGACUCAGAAUAUUUCAGGGAACCUGUAUUAGUCCAUUUUUACACUGUUGUAAAGACACUACCCCACACUGGGUAAUUUACAAAGGGAAGGUGUUUAAUUAAUUUACAGUUCUGCAUCGCUGGGGAGGCCUCAGGAAACUUACAGUCAUGGUGGAAGGCAAGACAGAAGCAGGCACCUUUUUUCACAAGGUGUCAGGGA